rnacentral:rRNA from 1 species
AACGCUGGCGGCGUGCUUAACACAUGCAAGUCGAACGGAACUCAUUGGAUCAAGACUUCGGUCAAGUGAAUUUGAGUUUAGUGGCGGACGGGUGAGUAACGCGUGGGUAACCUGCCUCAUGCAGGGGGAUAACAGUUAGAAAUGACUGCUAAUACCGCAUAAGCGCACAGUACCGCAUGGUACAGUGUGAAAAGAUUUAUCAGCAUGAGAUGGACCCGCGUCUGAUUAGCUAGUUGGUGAGGUAACGGCUCACCAAGGCGACGAUCAGUAGCCGACUUGAGAGAGUGAUCGGCCACAUUGGGACUGAGACACGGCCCAAACUCCUACGGGAGGCAGCAGUGGGGAAUCUUCCGCAAUGGGCGCAAGCCUGACGGAGCAACGCCGCGUGAGCGAUGAAGGCCUUCGGGUCGUAAAGCUCUGUCCUCAAGGAAGAUAAUGACGGUACUUGAGGAGGAAGCCCCGGCUAACUACGUG